UACGUAGGGUGCGAGCGUUGUCCGGAAUUAUUGGGCGUAAAGGGCUCGUAGGCGGUUUGUCACGUCGGGAGUGAAAACUCGGGGCUUAACCCCGAGCCUGCUUCCGAUACGGGCAGACUAGAGGUAUGCAGGGGAGAACGGAAUUCCUGGUGUAGCGGUGAAAUGCGCAGAUAUCAGGAGGAACACCGGUGGCGAAGGCGGAUCUCUGGGCCUUACCUGACGCUCAGGUGCGAAAGCUAGGGGAGCGAACAGG
rnacentral:rRNA from 1 species